rnacentral:misc_RNA from 1 species
GUAGGUGAACCUGCGGAAGGAUCAUUAUUGAAAUAAACCUGAUGGGUUGUUGCUGGUUCUCUAGGGAGCAUGUGCACGCCUUGUCAUCUUUAUAUCUCCACCUGUGCACCUUUUGUAGACCUUCCAGGUCUAUGUUGCUCCAUUUACCCCAAUGUAUGUUAAUAGAAUGUUGUGUUUAUAAAAUCUAUACAACUUUCAGCAACGGAUCUCUUGGCUCUC